CCCUAGAGACCCCUCAGUCGUUCCCUUUCAUCUUCUGAAAUCAGACCCUUCAGCUUUUUCUUCUUGGACACACCUCAAGAAACCUAGAAGACACACACACACACACACACCUGGAACCCUAGAGACCCUAAGAGCAAAAAUCCUUUCCUUCUUGAUCCUCAACACAUACAGCACACAGUCGCGACGAACCAGUCCCACCCCAUCUCCACCAGCCACCUCUCAAACCCGCCGAAUAUCCGCCACUCUCGCUCAAACUCCCUCCACUCAAAACCAACCAACCGCCAUCACUGUCUCCAUCAGUAGAUUCCUCCUCUCUUAGGUAGCAAACUCCUAUGCGUACUCUUCUCCAGUGAAAUCGAGUCUCAGCAUUUGUGAAAAUCUCCCGGGACAGAGAUGGGCUAUGAUUUCGCAUAGCCGCCUGACGAUAUUCAUAUAUUAAAGUUAGUGAAGUCCUUGUUCGAGUUUUUGGUGCCGCUAAAGUUUUCCGGUCUAAGGCUCUUAUCGGUGUCUAUUUCUGUUGGUCCAAGUCGAUGUCUCCGUUGCCGUUGGUUUCUGUUCGAGGUUCUGUUUUCCUGCCAUGUCGCGUAUCCGAAUGUUUUGAGAAAAUAGAGGUGCGGAUCUACUUAUCGGAGUUUGAGCAUGACAGACAUCCCGGGACCAUCCAAUCAGGACCGCUGCAUUCAUGAGCUGCUUAAGGAGAUUUUUUUUAUGCUUUGAGUCUGCCUUCCUUUUAUGUUGUCUUUUACUUUCUAGUCCUUUCUAAUAGUACUGAGUCUUUUAGGUGGUGUCAGAAUCUGUCAUAGUCUAGCUGAGUUUGUCGAGUCUUUUGUUAUCGUAUUUCUGAUUCUAUAUUCAAAAAGAGGUUGUAAAUGAAUAAUCUAAAAAGAUAUUUAUUUUUUAGUUUAA